GCUUAGUCAAGCACUUAUGUGAUGUGACUCUUCUCUCAUGUUUUGGCCUUGUCCACUGGGGUGCUUGUGAUAUGUAGCUGGGCCCAGCUCUUAGGUUAUGUGAUCUCUUUUUUUUUUUUUUUUUUUUUUUUUGCCUGAUCUCUGCAUACAUUUUGUAUUGUGAUAUAUAUGGCUGGGUCCAACACCUAGGUAUUAUGAGUCUCCUGAAUGGGCUCUGUUCAGAAAGGUAUUAUGACAUAUUCUUUUUUCUUCAUCACUUAAAUGUUGUGACUCUCCUUUUUU
rnacentral:lncRNA from 10 species